AGCAGUUUAGCUUAAUGGUAAUGCACUCGGCUGGGGGGAUGUGGGUUCGAGUCCCAUGGCUGUUU
rnacentral:tRNA from 1 species